GGAAAUACAAAGAAAAGGAUAAGUACUUAGUUUAGUCACUUUUAGAGAGUGAGGGUAUGGUGCAACCUCAUAGGAAUAGCUAGGAAAAAUCACCUUGGAGUUGAGAACUGAAUUUUUAGUAGGUUUCUUCGUUAUUCUACGUUACAGAAUAGGAUAUGUCAGUAUCUGAAAUUUUAACCAUAGGUGGUUUGCGAAUAUUACUUCGUCCUAUUU
rnacentral:ncRNA from 1 species